CCCUUAGAUGUUCUGGGCAGCACGCGCGCUACAAUGGUCUUCGCAAACGGAUGCAUUCUCGAAGGAGAAUGCCAAUCUUGGAAUCUAUGCCUUGGUCGGGACAGUUGCUUGCAAUUUUUCGACUCGAACCAGGAAUUCCUUGUAAUCGUGAUUCAUCACAUCACGAUGAAUACGUCCCUGCCCUUUGUACACACCGCCCGUCGCUCCUACCGAUCGAAGAGUUAGGUGAAUUGUUUUGAUCGAUAAAAUUUGACUAUGGUCAACUCUCGUUGUGAAAUUCUGUGAAUCUGACUGUUUAGAGGAAGGAAAAGUCGUAACA
rnacentral:rRNA from 1 species